rnacentral:misc_RNA from 1 species
GGUCAAAAGAAUAGAAAUGAUGCUCUCAUCCUCUAUGCUCCAGUAACAGUCAUCUGGCUUGACAAUAUGACAAAGCUCUCCAUCUAUCACUGGUGGUUGACCCUUUAGUCCAACUUUGAGACGAUUCUUCUUGAUCUCACAAACCACAAACCUGGACUUGGUUCCUUUGGGUACAGGUACAUUAACAUUGACUUCUUGAAGAGACUGUGUCCAAGAGUAGUUGUCCAUAUCAAGGCCAUUACCUUUGUUGGGAACUCUUGGCCCAUUCUCCUCUUUCUUCUCCCCCUCCUUGUGCUCCUCCAACUUCACACCCACUUUCUCUUCCGGCGGUGAUGGAACAGUCGUCGGCUCCUCCUUCACAGCCUUCACCUCCUGCUUGACACUCCUCGCCUCCUCCUUAAUCCUCUUCUCGGCCUUUCCUUUAAGCUCAAGCGACUCUUCCUGCUUCUUUCUCUUCUCCACAGCUCUGCGCACUACCGUCUCAAUAUCCUUCUCGACUCUAUCCCUGGAGAGAAAAUCGGUCUCAUUGGCAAGAAAAUCGAACACCUUCUCCAAAAACCCUAGAGGGUUUGAAGGGUCAAAGUUGGCAUUGAACUGGGAAGGCUUAGCCGAUGAAGAAGAUGAUGGAGCGGAUGAGGAGGAAGGCUUUUUUGGCUUUGGGAUUUCUUCCUUCUCUUCGUAAUCAGAGAUAAUCGCCAUGGCGGGC